CGGAAGUGAACAAUACUGAAAUGUUAUAUUUUAUUAUCCGUGUAUAAUACAGUUCUAUCCCUUAUAAAACCUGACAGCAUCCUCAACUGAAAAUGUUACUCUGGCCUGUAAGAGGUUGUUAUCAGUGUAACGUCCAUUUGUGUGUGUAAGGUCCAUUUGUAUUUUUAGAAGGGGCUUGGGUAAGAGCCAAGGCUUUAUAUACUUAGUGAUAAAAUCCAUUCUGUAAAUAUUCUGUCUUUAAAGCAAGGCAAACUUUAAUAGUUGACUCUAGAAAUAAGGCAACGGAUAGCUUUAGACUCACAGAAAGUUAGAAAUGGGACCAGGUUUUUCUGUUGGGCUUAUCAAAGAAGAAGUGGUCUGAAAAUUCCUCAAGAGUUUCCUCAGCAGUGAAAAGUGAAGUCGCUGGGUCUUUAUUUGUGAUACCACGCAUUGUGUGGCAUUUUUUGAACCGGGCGUGUCUUGAUGAUCUUCCCCCGCUAGAGUAAUUUUAUUUUGUUUUUACUACGAAGGAUCCAUUUGAAAUGACUUAAAAUUUGGACUUUAGUCUUCUAUCUUACUCGUAGUGAUAACUAGGUCAUUUACUUGACAAAACUAUAAAUGUAUUAUUUGCAUACCUAACAAGGUCAGUAUUUGUUAUGAAAGGCGGUGGACUCACACCUGAAAAUGACAAUGCAAGUUCUCGACCACACUUGAAAAGAAUCAUUCUCAAACCCAGCUGUGCAUCUCCAUGCCAGCGCAUUCAUCUACGCAUGUGAAAGACACCCAUGCCAGAGCAGGAAUUUAGAGUAUCUGAUUUUAGAAGAGAAUUAUUCUGAAAGGGGUUCCAGACAUCACUUAUCUUAAUAUACAAAAAUAAAUAAAUAUUUUUUGCUACAUGCAGGAAGUGAUUUUCCAUAUUUAAAAGCAAUUAAUUUCUACUACUACAUUUCUAAUACAGUUCUACUACUAUCUAUUUGUAUCUAUUUCUAUUUACAUCUCAGAAUCCCAAGCACUGCGCGGUUAAUUUUAUUGCUCAAGAUCAUCCAACAAAGAAGCUCUGAACCCAUUGCAAAGCCAGAGGGUUGACUUGUAACCUCACUCUUCUGUCUGCACUCUAUACCAACAUUCAAGAAACAUCAGAAGAAUUGAGGCAAUAAAACGUAAAUACAUGUGUGGUUCCUAGCAACAACUAUUAUAUAUUAGCUGGAGUAGGGGGAAAUGGUGUACUAAGUAGUUGUUACUUAAGGCUGAUGACCUGAAAAUCAUGAGCCCAAUCUUUAACCUGGCUGGAUACUGCCUACGUAUUAGCUUGUAUAUAUAAAUAUCUCUAGAUAUUAUACAUACAAUGCCACAACCUCUUUGAUAACUAAUUUGGAUGCAUAUUCUACUACCAAAACAGGAAGUUACAACUUAGAAGGCUAAAAGCAGAAUAUUUUGUUGUUUGCCUCUAUACUGUAGCCAAAAGAUUUGCUGGCACUGGGCUUACAUUGUCUCCACUGUGUUUUGCAGACUAACUAUGUGUGUGCAUUCCUACUUUGAUUUUUGUUUUGAGUUGAGAUUUCCUUGAUGGGUAUAUACUAUGUAGUUCAGUUGAUGGAGUGCGACAUGGUGUUGCAUACAGGUGACCUCAGGAUUCAGGAAGCAGGCACUGGAGGAUGGGGAGUUCAAGGUCAUCCGCAGCUACAUAGUAGGUUUAAGACCAACCUAAGAUACUUGGGACCCUGUUACAGAAAUGCAACUAAUGUCUUAGAAGGCAGGAGGUCAGACUUUAUUAUCCAUCAUCUCUGUAGUCCAUAGAAUUCUUUACACUAUACUCUACUAUUAUACUAUAAUCACUUGUGGAAAAAUUACGUGCAGAAGUUCUGAAUGAAUAGAACUCGCAUCCAAAAAUCAAUAGGAAUGUGAAUAGUGAUUUGCUAUGGGGCAUUUUAAUAUAACAGUGAAGGGCACUUGACCAAUACUGUAGUUGUUUGAAAAGACACUGCUACUCGAAAUGUCAGUAUAGAACAGAUAAGUAGCUUUUCUCAGAAGGAAAGCAUUCAAGGAAGCUGUAUAGAAAAGUAAAUGCUGCUUUCACUAAGAAAUUUUGCU
rnacentral:lncRNA from 1 species